UAAAUAUUUGGUCAAAUUAUUAAUUUUGUGUAUGGUUUCCUAGAAAGAAGUGUGUCUCAACUUACCUCUUUGGCUCAACUUACCCCACUGUCCCCUACAUGCCGUUACUCAAACAUCUAGAUGUUGAUAAAUGGCCAGGGGACAAUGCCUCCCACCCCAGUUGGCCAGAGGACAGCUGACUGCAAGGCCUGCCACUAUGCAGCCAAUGCCCGCUAAAAUAGCCAAAUUAAUGGAAGAGGCUCAAGUCCACACGAGGGUUUAAUACCAGGACACAUUUUACCGGUCUGAGCUGUCACACACAGCAGCAGACAUCAAUAUUUACCGCUGCCAUGGCACAACGGUAAGAGGUGGCGAUGGAGUGGCGGCCAUUUUUGUGGCCCUCCAGGGUAACUUUAUGCUGUGGUAAAGGCUGAGGAAAUCUCCCCUUCAGCAGCCCACCGCUAUGCCAUCUUGGGACUGGUGCUUCUGAGAAAGAGGCUGGAGGCCGCCCAACAUGCUGUAAAUAACUGUCACUCAGAGAUGUGUUAGUCCCUGGGAUGUUGUGUAACAUGUGAUAGCCUAUCAGCAUGUACACAACUGACACUGAGAAGCUCAAGUAAUGUUUCUAUGGACAAGCAGGAAAAGUGUUUAGAUUAUGUAGCAAUAUGAUUCCAAUUAGAAAAUGUGGAUGCAUACAGUAGCCUAUAAGUAGCCUACUAUUAUGUCACAUUGACGCACCCGUGCAUCACACAGUGACGUCAUUUUGAAUAUUGAAUAGCUCCCCAUGUGUUUAUGAUAAAGAUUUACCGUUUCUUGUAACGGCUGAAGUUUGCACCUAUUCCAUAACGUGGGUUUGUGAAAGCGGCCUUUUUCUAUGCAUGAGAGGAUCCAGACAAGAAAAUCAUCUACAAACGAAUAAGUCACCACCAUCGAAAAAUGAGACUCACAAACACGACGGUUGUUUCACUCUACGACAUCCACAAGCUUUACGUCAGUUGUCUGAACUCUCUAUCGCGGACGUCCUCAUUUCGAAGAGGUCUUUUCACACAACAAACUGUCCAGACCGAUCCAUUGGAGCUACAAAAUAAUAUAUCACCAAUAUCGAAAGGGGAGACUCUCACAAACUUUCUAUAUCUCUCAAGUAUAGGACAGACACUGUAUGUUUUGCCAUUUACAAAUGUGUUAUUCAAUGCGUUCCUAUGGGCUAUAGCAGUAAAGGCCAAAUUCAA